rnacentral:rRNA from 1 species
CUCUUAACGGGGGAUCACUUGG